AUCUGCUAUUCUAAUAUUGGAGGAUUUGCAAUCACAUUUUUACAUACCUUGAAGAAGAAAGACAAUAUAAAACCUCCAGGCAUUCUUAGCUUUAAAAUCUUCAUUUGUCAGAUAAAUUUCAAGAAGUAUAUCAAGGAUUUUCAUGAUAUGGUCUCCGUUUGCUUCUCUGAAUC